GUUUCUCCAGUGGUGUGCGGUCCUCUGUAGCACGGCGCCUCCUCUGCAGCACGCCGCUCUCCGACCACGACGAUGACCGGCGGCCCCCCUCCCCCCAACCCACACCACCACCAGAACCACCACGGCCUCGCCCCGUCUCGUCCUAUCCCCACCACAGCCUCGCCCCGCCGACCCUUUUCCCCACGACGACCUCUCCCCGGCGGCCCUUAUCCCCCACAAGCACAACGACCUCUCCCCGCUGCCUCCUGUCACACCGCGGCCUUGCCUCGCCGCCAACCCCGCGGAUCUUCCCUAGAUCGGCUCUGCCGCCGCCAUAGUACUGCCCCAGAGCAGAUCGAGAUGUGUGGGAGGAGGCAUCUCGAAUUGGACUGAGAUUCAGUCCGUUGAUGUGCCCGCCGUAAUCAUCGCCCCCCGUGCUUGGCUCACACAGUCGCUCCGGGAAGGAGUUCGCAGCUCGUGUACGUGCUCGGUUGCUGAAGCCCAAUGAAAUGUAUGGCCUUGAGCUCCAUUAUUUAGGCCUGAUCUCAUGAGAGGUGGUAUGUCUAUUGCAUUGGCAUACAAUAAGGCUUGAAGUGGCGGUCGUAACACAGUCGGUUGGGAGGACUCAAUGUCAGAGUCGAUACUAUGGACAUUUUCCUUGUUAGAACCGGCACUAUCUGAUGUUCUUAAUGAAUUUGGAGCAUGAAGUGGAGUCUGAUCACUCAUUAUCAUAUCAACAGGUCCUGAAAGGGAGUACGUGCCCCACUAUGCUCAGAGGAUGCCAUAUUGUCAACUCAGUUUGUCAUGCAGAUCAUGAUGUACUGUCAGAAAGUAGUCAUAUGUCCUCGAGAUGCCGCGGGCCACACGGGGUGAUAACACCGGAGGUAGGGCAGCACGCCGGGUGGAGAACGUCGCGGCCACCAGGGGCGACGGCGGUGUGGCGACGACGGCGGGGCGAGGAGAGGUUGGGCAGCAAGGCGGGUCGAGGAAGGACGUGCACCGGGGUGGAGGACAUCGCGGCCACCAGGGGCUAGGGUGGCGUGGCGACGGCGACGGGGCGAGGAGAGGUACGGCAGCAAGGCGGGUCGAGGAUGUCCACCGGGUAAGGACGUCGCAGACACCAGCGCUGAUCGCGGCGGUUCCUGGCGUGGUGGCGGCGUAGAUCGUGGAGGUGCUGUUUAUUUCCCAGGAGUUGUCAUCGUGGGGCUGUGUAGCAUCCUGAACGGGGGAGUCUGCCGGCAGAACAUUUGUUGUGAACUGUCGAUCUGAUUGUAGUAUGGUUGACGUAACGUGGACAGUUAGAUGGUACCAAGUGAGUCUGAUCGGACGUGGGGGGUUAUCCUGUGUGCACUUUCUGGUGUGGAUGUAGGGGAAGUCAUGUUUGGUCUUUUAAUAGUAGUGUAGAAGUGUAGAUGUAG
rnacentral:rRNA from 1 species